GAACGGCCGGUCCGGUCUGGUUUCCAAACGUUGAAGUAACUGCUUCACGAUCUUCACGCUUGGUUCCACCACCCUUGUGCCUCCAGAAUCCGAGGUCGUCACCGCCCUAAACUGUUGCUGCAAAAGAUGUGGUGAGGAAGGUACUAUCGGAGCCAAUUCGUCCUCAGUUUGCCAUUGCUUCUGUUGAUCCUUGGUAUUACCACCACCGUCUAGAGGCUCACAAACUGAUUAGUACAAAACUGGGAUCCAAAGUUCCGGUUAUUACUAUUCUUUCCAAAACAAAUAUGGGAAGGGAUGCGAUUUUCAAUGAAUCCGAAGAGGUUUAUCCUUACAAAAUUUUCUUUUUUCUUUCUUUUUACUCCGAGAGGAUUAAUAGUCUAGAGUAAGGUUAUUCUACAAGUGGAAUUAAUUAACAUACAAAAAACCCUUAACAUGAGAAGUGAAGGGGGAAAUUUUUCUUUGAAAUUUAUUUCCAAUUCUAUUAAUCACGUAUUUUAGU